AUUAUUAAUAUUUUAUAUUAUAUUAUAUUAUAUUAUAUAUAUAUAUGACAAAGAAAGAAAGAAAAGAAACAGAGAGCAAAACAAAACAAAACAGAGAAGGGAGAAAGAAAGAAACAGAGAGCAAAACGAAACAGAGAAGGAAGGAAGGAAAGAAAGAAAGAAAAGAAAAGAAAAAGGGAAAUUUGGGGUUUUAAGGUUCAAAGUAAUUUGGUAAGUCAAUUUAAUCCCCUUUUCUCUUAAUUUUGAUAUUUUUUUUUGAAAUCCUAGAAUAAAAUACUACUUGAUUUAAGUUGAAAUUUUGAAAGUUAGUAGAUUAUUAAGCAUGGUUCAUGUUGAAUAAAUUGUUAAAUUAGGGAUGUAUUUGAUAGAAAUUUUGAUUGGAAUUGAAUAAAGGAUUGAAUUGUAAACUAAACUAUAAGUUUUGAAUUUUAGGGAUUAAUUUGAAAUAAAUUCGGAAUUAUGAAAACAUGAUAAAAAUUAAAUAGUUAAAUAUGAGUUUAGCAAGAAAUUGGGUAGAAUAAGGGUAUGAAUUGAGAAAGAAAAAUAUAUAGGUUUAGUUAGGGGUUAAAUUGAUUUAAUUUCAAGUUAGAAGUUAGUAAAGAAUGUAAUUGUAAAAUAAAAUAUAAGUUUUGAAUCGAUAGGGAUUAAAUUGAAAGAAUCCCGAAAUUAGGGAUUUAUGGUGAAAUUGAGGAAUUAAAUUGACUUUAUAGUAAGAAUUAAGAGAGAAUAUAGAGUUAGAUUGGGAAAAAUAAAAUUAGUAUUGGUAAGGGAUAAUUAUAAAGUUUAGGUAUAAAAGGAAAUAUUUUAAUGAAAUUGUGUAUUAAUGAUUUUUAAUUGUUUAAUUACGUAGCUAAUGUCGUGUACGAGUCAUUGUCCGAGAAAGGAAAGGAGAAAGUGGACAAGGAGUGACUCGAGAGAAAUUACGGUUAGUAUUACUAUAAUUCGAAUUUAAUUAUUAAUUGUUAAAAUUUAAAUUAAUAUACAUGAUAAGAAAAUUGAGGUGAGUAUCAUGAUUGAAUCGAAUGAAAUAUAUAUAUACGUAUUGAUAUUGAAUUUAUUGAUAGUAAUUGUUGAAUUUUGAAUAAUAUGUUUAGUAAAUAAAAAUAAGGAGAAUACCAAUAUUUAAUUGAAUGAAUUAAAAUAUGAAUUGAAUAAAUGAGAUAUUAAAUUGAGAUAUGUGAAUAUGUGAAUUGUGUAUUGAUUGAAAAGUGGUUUGAAUUGAAUCGAAGUAUGAUUAUAUGUGAAUAUCUGAAAUAUGUAUUGGUAUUGAAUUGUAUAUUGAUUUGAAAGUGGGAAGUGAAUCUGAGUUGAAUUGCGAUUAAAUCGAAAGUGAAUUUGAAAUAGAAAAAUGUAUUGAAACAAAUGGUGAUUAAAUGGGAAUGAUUUGAAUUGAAAGUAUGAGAAAGUGAUUGAAUUGAAAUGUGAUUCGGAAACCCUAUUAACUAGUCGGGCUGAGUCGGAUAUAGUUGGCAUGCCAUAGGAUUGGAAGAGUUCAGGGAUACUUCGACCUUGAGUCGAUGAGACACUGGGUGUCACUAUAUUUCUUCGGAUAGAUUCGAUGAGGUACUGGGUACCAACUUUCUUCGGCUUUGCUGAUGAGACACUGGGUGUCAACUAUUGCUUCGAACUAUCCGAUGAGGCACUGGGUGCCAUUCUGGUGUGUUUGGUUGGAUCCGUGUAUCCGCCAAGGUCCGAGUCUUGUUAAUAGGGGUAAAUAAUUGAAAUGAGAAAAUUGAAUAAAUGUGAUUGAUUGAGCUAUGGGAAGAAACGAAAAAGUGAAGUUGUGAAUUGAUGUGUGAAUUGGAAAUCGAAAUAAGAGAUUUAAAGAUAUGAGCCCAAAGUUCAUGAUGUGAUAAAGAGUAAAUUUUGUUAUAUGAUAUUAGUGAGUACAAAUUGCAAUAAAAUUUAUAUUGAAUAUAAAUUAAAUGAAAUAAAUUGUAUAUGAAUUGAAAUGAACUAUUGGAAUGAGAUGUAAAGAAAAAUCCAAUGGAAUUGAGAUAGUGAAAUAAGGUAUGAAUACAAUUAAAUACAAGAUUUGAAUUAUAGCUUAUUGUUAUUAAUUAUCAAGUUGAUUUAAUGCAUGAGAUAAUUAAUGAAUAAUUGUAGACAUAAAUAAAAUGUAUAUAAUUUAUCGAUUAAUGUUAUUAAUUCGAAUUAUGGUAAUACCACUGAGUAUUUCCAUACUCAGCGUACGGUUGUUUCCGUGCGCAGGUUAGGUCAAAGUCGGAUUGUUGAAUCAGCAUCCAAAGCCGAUUCUGAGCUAAUUGUGGUGGUGAACAUUUCUUUUAGUUAUGGCAUGUAUAGGAAUUUAGUAAUUUUGUAUAUUUGUAAAUAUGAUUUUACUAUAGAAUGAUGUGUAAGUAUUUGAUGAUGAAGGGUUGUUUAAAUGGUCAAGGAUGAAGUUAAUUAUUGUUAUAAAAGUCUAAGUGAUAAAUUAGGUAUGAAAGUCAUAAAAUGGUAAAAUUUUGCAAAGAAACAGAAUUCAGGCAGCAAUAGUGACGUAACUUUGAAAAAUCACCUAGGAUAGUAUAAAAUGAAUUAGAGGGUGAAUGAUAUAUGGAAUUAAAGCUUGUUGAGUCUAUUUUCAUGGAAAAAUAACGGUGUAGAAAAAAGAAAUUUAUAUUUUAAGAUAUGUGAAUUUUAGUAAGAUAGGGUCAGAACUGUUUUUGGAGUCCCCUGUUCUGAGUUUAGAAAACAAUUACAAAUUGUACAAAAAUGGUUAUGAGUUGAAAUUUACAUGCUUAGAUUCCUUAAUGAGUCUAUUUUCUAUAGAAACAAGUAAGAACUUCAUAUGAAAAUCCUAUAGUGAGAAAAAUUAUUUUUAGUGACUAGAGGUCAGGGCAGUCUGGUGGUGACACAGGGGAGAAUUUAACUAAUAAACUGUACUAAUUUGCUGAACCAAAAAUUCUAAAAAUUUUAUGGUGAGUAUAUAUAUGAGUCUAGUUUCAGGGAAAAUUUACGAAAUUAAAUUUGGAGUUCCGUAGCUCGAGUUAUAAUCAAUUUAGUAACUGCUGCACGAUUGGACAGAUUACUGUAAACAGUGAAAUUAAUUUUUAAAACGAAUUUUUAUGCCCCGAAUUAGUAAGAUAAGCUAAGUAAUGCCUCGUACUCGAUUCCGGAAACGGUCUCGGGUAAGGGGUGUUACAAUUUUGGUGGUAUCAGAGCUUUGCAGGUUUAGUCGAUUCUCGGACUAAAUCGAGCUCAGAAUUGAGUUUAGAGGUACAUGCCAUAAUUGUGUCGAAUUGAGUCGAGAUUUGGAUGCUGAUAUAUUUGCUUAUGUUUUAGAGUUGAAAAUGUCGAAUGAAUAUGAUGAUGAAUAUUGCGUUAUAUGUUUCAUUGAAAAAUAAAUUAUAGUGCUAUACGAACUAUUGAAUUGAUAACUAAAUUAUAAAAAAAAAUACAAAAGUAAUAUAUGAAGUAGAUGAUAAGGAUUAUUAAGGAUUUAUGGAUGAAUAGUAAAUUUUGAAAUAUAUUACAUGUGCUAAAGAUAGAGAAGAUAUAAAUGCACAAAUUAUUGGUACAAGAAUUAAAUUGUAAAGCAUGUAAAAGUAUUGUGCGAAAAGUGUAAAAGUGAUAUGCAUGCAUGAAUGAAAUAAUUUGCCCAAGUAGACGAGGUUAGAACUAUUAGGAUAUUAAGGGAGUUUAGCGUGCUCUCUGAUUAUUAGCACAUCAGUGCUCUCUGUUUAGCACAUCGGUGCUCUCUGAUAUUUAGCACGUCAGUGCUCUCUGAAUAUUAGCACGCUCUCUGAUCACUAGCACGUUAGUGCUCUCCGUUUAGCACAUUUGUGCUCUCUGUACAGUCCCGUAUAUCCUAAGUAUUCUGUUUCGUCUACUGGGCCUCUGCUAAAAAAAAAUGUUACAAGAUAAAAGAUUAUCUUUGAUUCAAUGAUGAAUGAUUAUAAAGGAAAAAUAAGUUACAAAGCUGUGAAUAAAGAAGUAUGUAUUUGUAAUAAAAUAAUUUAAAGUUGUGAAUAAGUAAAUGUUAUUUAGUUCUGUAUGGAGAUUUAAAAUAGUAAUCCUUAUAUAUAAGGAUGAAAAUAUACAUUUAUACAUUUAAAAGAGUAACCUUGAUAAAUGAGAAAUGUUUUACUAAUAGACAAAAAUGUCUCCAAUUGAUCUAGUUCCAACAGUGAUGAAAAUGAUAUUUGAGUAUUUGAUAGAGAAAGGGGAGUUGCCUAUAUGAGUAAAGAGUUAUAAGGUAUGGAAUGAAUGUUUGUAAUGAAUAUAUUGACGAUAAAAGUCAUGUUAUGUGUAUAUAUAUAUAUGAGAGUCAAAUUUUGAGGCUUUACGACCUUCACCCCCUCACCUGUACAAAGGAAUUUACAAGAAUUGUAUUCAUUAAGUUUACAAGUGUGUAAUUGAAGAGUUCAAUAAUUGAAGGAAUAAUAAUGCAGUCAGAAUUGUGGAUGGGAUAGCAAGUAAAGAGAGUUCUAAAAAGGAUAUUAGAUUUUUUUUAAAUGAUUACUGGGAUUUGCAAUGUCGCUAUUAAGGAAGAAGCUAUUCACGAGUAAUCGACUUACUCAGGUAUAAAAUUUAAAGAGCAGGUUAAUCGGAAUUUCUUCUGAAUUGAUUUCUUUAAUGAUUGGGAUAAUGCGAGAUUAUUGAUGACUUUAGUAAUCAGUGGGAUUGUGUUGAAAAUUGCAACCAUAUCUGAAUGCAGUUGUUAUAGUCGGGUAUCUUACAACGAUUUCUUCUGGGUAUUCUAUAUGGGUAUUCUAUAUGCUCUUUUAUCCUCAGAGGUAUAUGCAAUUAUUUAUUUUCAGAUAUGAUUCUUAUCAUAUAGCAAGGUUGGCUAAUCAUAUUAUUAGACAGAAUUAUUAUUAGUCUGGUUGAUUCAUGAUCGGGAUUCCUCUAUCUUUCUUUGGUUUUCUAAUCUAUUAUGUUCGAUGGAAGAUUUGAUGAUAAGACUCAUAUGAAGUUAUUUUCUAUUUCUACUGGUUGAAGCUCCGAAUUAUAUAUAUGGAAUUUAUAUUGUCUUUAUCACAACUAUUCCUAGUACGUACAAGUGAUAUUCUUCUUUUGGAUUUUCUCUGGGAUAUUCUUUUGGAUUUUCUCUGGGAUAUCAUCGAUCUCUUUAUCAUUCAAUGUGGUUUUUCUUCUCGGAAAUUUAGUAUAGCUUCACAUCUUAGAUUCUAUUAUCCCGGUUUUCUUAUUAUUCUUAUGGUCUAAUCUUAUUUAUUAACCAUGGUUCAUCCGUACAAGAUAUUCGUUGGCCAGAGGUAAUUAUAUUUAUUACUGUUAUAAAUCUUGGUUUGAUCAUGGGAACCCGGUGAUAUGGAUUUCAGAUUAUAGAAGUUGUAUUACUGCACUGGUUGUUAUUGGGACUACUUCGGUCUUUUUCAUCUAUUUUGGAGUGCAUUAUUGAUGUUGAAGUAUUGUUCUAUCUAUACGGUUGGAACGUCAGUUCUAUUAUGGCAUUAUGGUUUUUAAUCUAUCUGAUAGUUGUGGCUUCGGUAUAGUUCAAAGCUUCGAUGUUAAUGAUUGAAAUAUUUUUAUUAUAUAUAAUUCCUUUCUAGUUUUCGUGAAAGGGUUGACAUCGGCAAAAGUAUAGAUGGAGGAAGAUUGAGCUCAAACUUGUAUUUUGGUUUUCAUUUCUCAGGUAAUUCUGAAUUAUGUCAACAAGUCAAUAAUGGAAUGUCAAAAUUCGUUUGAGUUAAAUGCUAUUUGUGGUAAUUUUCGGUUGGUGUUCUGAGAGGAUUAUGAUAUAUGGUAUAUCUAAAUUGUUUUGACAACAAGAAGAAUGGAUUAUUCUAGAAUGUUAUUAUCUGAAAGAUAAAAAUCGACUCAGUUCUAAUCAGAGUGGGUUAUUCAGUGAAAAGUUGAGUAAUCAUCAGUGAUGGAAUCAAUAUAUUUUGGGUCUCCACAAUGGGUUUAAAUUAUCUGUUUUCUUCUCGCUGGAUGGGUUUCCAAGGUCUUCGUUUAAAGGUAUUAAAUAAGAUAAUUCGAGUUUCUCAGUUAUGUUUCGACAGACAAUUACUGGAAAUUUCUUAGUAGUCAUACUACUAGUGAAAAAGUGAUGGCAAGAGAACAUCAGAGUUACUCAGUUAAGUUCAGGCAUAGUAUCAAGUUCUAAAAUGAGUUCUGAUAUGAUUUCGGAAGUGAUAUGAGUUAUGAUUAAUUUUUAUGGACUUCGAUUGAAAGGGUGGAAGAAAGAUUUGACUUAAUAGCCUGUAUCAGGUGAGAAAUUUCGAGGACGAAAUUUUUUUUAGGGGGGAAGAGUUGUAACAGCCCAAUUUUUAGUAGUGUCAGAAUAGUGAUUUGAGAUCACUAAAAUUGAUGAAAAAGUUAGAAAAAUUUAUUAAUUAAUAAUUAUAAGUUAAGUGUGAUUUUAGAAAUAUUUUUAAAUCAGUGAAUUUUGUGAUUUAAAAGAAAUUAUUAGGUAAAUUGGGUCGAAAACGAGGUAUCGAGACCUCGAUAUUAUAAACUGAGCCGUAAAUAUUUUUAUAAAUAUUUACGAAGUGUCAAUAGGAUAAUAUUAAAGUUUCGUUAAGAAAUUUUAAUGUUUCGAUAGUUAAUUAUGAAAAAGGAUUAAAUUGCAAUAGGGAUAAAAGUUUAAUUAUAGAUUAAAGAAAAGUUAAAAGGACCAAAUAGGCAAUUAUGCCUUUUUCUAAAGUUGAGGCGGCAUAAUGAAAGAAAUAUCUGAGAUAUUCUAGUUAAUAUAUAUAUUAUAUAUAUGUAAGUAAUGAUUAUUAUUAAUAUUUUAUAUUAUAUUAUAUUAUAUUAUAUAUAUAUAUGACAAAGAAAGAAAGAAAAGAAACAGAGAGCAAAACAAAACAAAACAGAGAAGGGAGAAAGAAAGAAACAGAGAGCAAAACGAAACAGAGAAGGAAGGAAGGAAAGAAAGAAAGAAAAGAAAAGAAAAAGGGAAAUUUGGGGUUUUAAGGUUCAAAGUAAUUUGGUAAGUCAAUUUAAUCCCCUUUUCUCUUAAUUUUGAUAUUUUUUUUUGAAAUCCUAGAAUAAAAUACUACUUGAUUUAAGUUGAAAUUUUGAAAGUUAGUAGAUUAUUAAGCAUGGUUCAUGUUGAAUAAAUUGUUAAAUUAGGGAUGUAUUUGAUAGAAAUUUUGAUUGGAAUUGAAUAAAGGAUUGAAUUGUAAACUAAACUAUAAGUUUUGAAUUUUAGGGAUUAAUUUGAAAUAAAUUCGGAAUUAUGAAAACAUGAUAAAAAUUAAAUAGUUAAAUAUGAGUUUAGCAAGAAAUUGGGUAGAAUAAGGGUAUGAAUUGAGAAAGAAAAAUAUAUAGGUUUAGUUAGGG
rnacentral:lncRNA from 1 species